GGAUUAGUGGCGAACGGGUGAGUAACACGUGAGUAACCUGCCCUUGACUCUGGGAUAAGCCUGGGAAACCGGGUCUAAUACUGGAUACGACCUUCUGGCGCAUGCCAUGUUGGUGGAAAGCUUUUGUGGUUUUGGAUGGACUCGCGGCCUAUCAGCUUGUUGGUGGGGUAAUGGCCUACCAAGGCGACGACGGGUAGCCGGCCUGAGAGGGUGACCGGCCACACUGGGACUGAGACACGGCCCAGACUCCUACGGGAGGCAGCAGUGGGGAAUAUUGCACAAUGGGCGCAAGCCUGAUGCAGCGACGCCGCGUGAGGGAUGAAGGCCUUCGGGUUGUAAACCUCUUUCAGUAGGGAAGAAGCCGGUCUUUUGGGUUGGUGACGGUACCUGCAGAAGAAGCGCCGGCUAACUACGUGCCAGCAGCCGCGGUAAUACGUAGGGCGCAAGCGUUAUCCGGAAUUAUUGGGCGUAAAGAGCUCGUAGGCGGUUUGUCGCGUCUGCCGUGAAAGUCCGGGGCUUAACUCCGGAUCUGCGGUGGGUACGGGCAGACUAGAGUGCAGUAGGGGAGACUGGAAUUCCUGGUGUAGCGGUGAAAUGCGCAGAUAUCAGGAGGAACACCGAUGGCGAAGGCAGGUCUCUGGGCUGUAACUGACGCUGAGGAGCGAAAGCAUGGGGAGCGAACAGGAUUAGAUACCCUGGUAGUCCAUGCCGUAAACGUUGGGCACUAGGUGUGGGGGACAUUCCACGUUUUCCGCGCCGUAGCUAACGCAUUAAGUGCCCCGCCUGGUGAGUACGGCCGC
rnacentral:rRNA from 1 species